GUCCGGGUGUGUGGGGGGACAGGGAGGGACCCAGAGGCUCGCGGCGCGUCCCGGGGACGCUGGCAAGUCGUCUUGGCUGCCCCCUGGGGGAGACACGGGGUGCCCCGGGACAGUGCUCACCGGUCUGGGUGAUGGGGAUAACGGGGACGGGUCGCGGCCGGGGAGGGGCUCACCGCCCCUUGAGACGCUUCGCAGGGUGCCCGGCAGCCCACUUCCCCUGGUCGGCUGGUCGCCGUAGGCAGAUGGCAGACAAGGGAAUCUAGAAAUCCGGAUUCGUGGCUGCGGUGACAGCGUGAAGUACCCGCAGAGUCCUGGGAAUCCAGCCCUUCCCAGUGGGUAACUACAACGGAUGGGACCUUGUGCGCAACAGAGGCGCAGACCUGAGGCCGGCGACAUAUCCGCCUCUGGCUCCCAGCUGUAUUACCCAGAAGCCUCACCGGCAGGCCCACGGCCCCAACUGUGAGAAGGAAAUGUGGUACAUCUUCCUCAGACGCAGCCGUGAAAUAAGGUGGCCUCUACUGAUGGGAGCAACUUGGAUGAUCUACAAUUGUACUGUCGAAGGAACAUUUUGAGCAAUACUGUACAUGACUUGUCAAUUCCGAAAUCGACAGGAUGCAGUGUUAACUAAUCUGCUAAACUAAGCCCAACCGUGAAUGUGCCUUUCUCUCUCCUUGGACAUUGGAUGGGACUGCCAAUGAGUGUCUCCCAAAGGGAAGUGAUUCAAGACAAAGACCCAUUGUGCCACUAGGAUAUGUGGGGAAUACCAACUAUGCUUGUUACAGAAUGUGCAUGGCUGGUGUUGGCCGGCCCUCCUGAUGCCCACAGGAGGAUCCAGAAGCAAUCUCCUAAGCUUUCCAUGACAUUCAAUUGACAAGGCACUUUGACACCCAUCAUUAGGGGGCUGCCCCAAGGCAGCUGUGUUCCUACCUAGUUGGUGCCCAGGAACAGCCACUCUCCUUGUAUUUGACUCUCUUUGAAGUGUAUUUCUCAUAGACAUGUACUUUGAACAUGCAUUUUCCUCCUGUGUCUACCUCGGUCUUAUUUGAGAAAUCCAAAUUAUUAUCCUACCUGCCUCUUCCUUUGUGAUUCACAUUCACAGCAGAAUUUCAUUUUGUCCUUCAGUUGUGUGGCUUGCCUUAAAGCACAGAUAGAGCUUCAAAUUGUUUAUUCCUUAAAAAAAUUUCAGAAGUGACCUGGCACUUAGCCAGCUCCAGCUAGUCUCUGAGUUUGGCUUUGUGUCCAUAAGCCGCAGUUGAGAGAAACGCACGAAAUGCCCAAACAGAAUAAAACAAAUGAUCUAUUUAGUCUCGUUUCCUCUCUUGGAAGAGAUCCAGUGUUGAGUGCUUUGGAAGAAGAUGAAAAUCCCC